rnacentral:rRNA from 1 species
UACGUAGGGUGCAAGCGUUGUCCGGAAUUAUUGGGCGUAAAGAGCUCGUAGGCGGUUUGUCGCGUCUGCUGUGAAAACUCGGGGCUUAACCCCGGGCCUGCAGUGGGUACGGGCAGACUAGAGUGCGGUAGGGGAGACUGGAAUUCCUGGUGUAGCGGUGAAAUGCGCAGAUAUCAGGAGGAACACCGGUGGCGAAGGCGGGUCUCUGGGCCGAACUGACGCUGAGGAGCGAAAGCGUGGGGAGCGAACAGG